ensembl:lncRNA
CCAAGAACAGAGAACAUGCACCAACUGCACGAACACUUCUCAAUCAAUAGAAGAGCAGCCCAUCAAAAUACUGCUAUUCUCUGAAACAAGGGAGCCAGACAGCUGGAGGCAGAUAUUGAGAGGAAUGGAACAGGAGAAAGGAACAGACACUAGUCUGGGGUGAGAAAACCAAUGGAGAAAUGGACAGCAGGGAAAAGAAAACAGGGGUCUGCUUCAGAACCAGGCCGGCAGUUUGCCUCUCUUACAGCUGCGAGACUUCAAGACUAACAUGACCACGCAAGCUUUUCAGAGCUGAGUAUCAGCACACAGGACCUGACUCGUUAAACAAAACCAUUAAAACAAUGAAAGCCUUUCUGCAAGGAUCCAAGCACGGCUCGUUCGCCCUGGCCCUGCGCUGUGGCUGUGCUAUGAGACCCCCUCCUCUUGCUGCCCUCCGCUCGCUCUGACCUAAAGAAGCUCUCAGGAUUGCCACAUGCAUUUGCCUCUGAACACCACCAGCAUUCACGACAGCCUCAUAUUUUUCAGUGCAUAGACUCAAUUUUUCUUUUUAUUUUAGAGAAACACACCCUAAUGCUUAGAUAUAAGUAUUCUCAAUUUACAAUAGCAUUGAAGUUUUCUUUGACUUAAACUUGGAAUUGCCAUAGACAACAGCCUGCUAAUCUGUGCAUUUGCUGUUCCUGCACAAAUGAAGCUCAGCUCUCCUUCUUUAGCCCCAGCACACAUUUAACAGCAAUCUCCGGCACCCAAAGAAGUUUAUAACAUUUCUACUACAAACUUAUUUCAUUCUGUAAUUACCAAAUAACAUAAUUGUUCUAAUUAUAUAGAAAGCUUUACUGUAAAUUAAGAUUAAACUGGGCUACUGAAAUAAAUGCUAAUGUAUUUAAUUGUGGGAUGAAUUAUCUUGGCUUCCUUGCCAUUCCUCAAGAGCAAGGCUUCCAGACAAGCAUGACUGAACAACACCCCCACGCACAUCCACCCAGGUGCACUGUGCAGGCACAAGCAGCACUGAGCUCCAAGCAGAGGGCACAGUGUCCCUGUGUUGCUUGUCUUUUGGUGGGCAGCUACCUGCUUCCAUGAGAAGGCCAGCAUUCUUUGUUUCAACGUUUAAGAUGGAGCUGACAAGAGCUCUCUUCUGACACACUGCUGGUGGAGGUCAGAAGAUCCUCCUGGAAGCGCAGAUGGAGGGACUGGAAGAAGGCAGGCUGUCACAUUCUGCACUGCUGAAGAUGGGAAGUCACAGCCCCAGCACAGCACAGGGCAACAAGAGACAGAUACCAAAGGGCCUUCUGCCUCCACUCUGCCUUGCCCACAACUGUAGGGGAUUGCCCACUGCAGCAUUCAUCUCGUCUAUGCUGAAUCUGAAUUCUGAUCAAAGUUAAGCAGAGAAGCUAAGAUGUGUCUGCCAAGAGGUAACCAUCAAACCCCUUCACCCACCCAUCUGGCCUCCAAUUUGAUCCCAGGUCUCCCCACUGCAACAGCAGCCAGCAUUUGCCAGCUCCUGAUCUAUGCUGUUAGCUUAUUUAGUAUAUGUUAAAGCACUAGGAACGGAAACGGAAAGAUGUCAAAAGGCAAAACUGAAACAGACAACGAACACACCUUCAUGGCCAACAAGGCACCGGCUGGCAAAGCGUGCUGCAGGCACAGCUCACAGCGGGGCGGG